rnacentral:lncRNA from 1 species
CCUUGACACAUUCAUUUUUGAUUUUACAAAAUAUUCUAAUUUCUUCUCUUUUAAUUUUUGUUCAAAUGGUGUCAUUCUUGCUUUAAGAUCAAAACAAAAUAAAGAGAAAGAAACAUUCUUUCACAUUUAUUGCUCUAAUAACUAAAAACAAGCAAGAAAAGAAUAAAAAAUUUUUAUGAAUCAUCUGUGCUUUAAUAAAUUUUUUUUUUUAAAUUGAACACUCUUUAUAUA